rnacentral:rRNA from 1 species
GACGAACGCUGGCGGCGUGCUUAACACAUGCAAGUCGAACGGAAAGGCCUGCUUUCCCUUGUGGAUUGCGGGUACUCGAGUGGCGAACGGGUGAGUAACACGUGAGUGAUCUGCCCCCAACUUGGGUAUAAGCCUGGGAGACUGGGUCUAAUUCCCGAUAGGACUGCAGGGUGGUGCCUGUGGUGGAAAACGAUUUUCUAGUGGUUGGGGAUGAGCUCGCGGCCUAUCAGCUUGUUGGUGGGGUAAUGGCCUACCAAGGCGGCGACGGGUAGCCGGCCUGAGAGGGUGGACGGCCACAUUGGGACUGGGAUACGGCCCAGACUCCUACGGGAGGCAGCAGUGGGGAAUAUUGCACAAUGGGCGGAAGCCUGAUGCAGCGACGCCGCGUGGGGGAUGACGGCCUUCGGGUUGUAAACUCCUUUCGACCGCGAGGAAGCCACCUGGUUGGAAGGGUGGUGACGGUAGUGGUAGAAGAAGCACCGGCUAACUACGUG